rnacentral:rRNA from 1 species
GAUGAACGCUGGCGGCGUGCCUAAUACAUGCAGGUCGAGCGAACAGACGAGGAGCUUGCUCCUCUGACGUUAGCGGCGGACGGGUGAGUAACACGUGGAUAACCUACUUAUAAGACUGGGAUAACUUCGGGAAACCGGAGCUAAUACCGGAUAAUAUAUUGAACCGCAUGGUUCAUUAGUGAAAGACGGUUUUGCUGUCACUUAUAGAUGGAUCCGCGCCGCAUUAGCUAGUUGGUAAGGUAACGGCUUACCAAGGCAACGAUGCGUAGCCGACCUGAGAGGGUGAUCGGCCACACUGGAACUGAGACACGGUCCAGACUCCUACGGGAGGCAGCAGUAGGGAAUCUUCCGCAAUGGGCGAAAGCCUGACGGAGCAACGCCGCGUGAGUGAUGAAGGUCUUCGGAUCGUAAAACUCUGUUAUUAGGGAAGAACAAAUGUGUAAGUAACUAUGCACGUCUUGACGGUAUCUAAUCAGAAAGCCACGGCUAACUACGUG